rnacentral:rRNA from 1 species
ACGGGAGGCAGCAGUGGGGAAUAUUGCACAAUGGGGGAAACCCUGAUGCAGCGACGCCGCGUGAGUGAAGAAGUAUUUCGGUAUGUAAAGCUCUAUCAGCAGGGAAGAAAAUGACGGUACCUGACUAAGAAGCCCCGGCUAACUACGUGCCAGCAGCCGCGGUAAUACGUAGGGGGCAAGCGUUAUCCGGAUUUACUGGGUGUAAAGGGAGCGUAGGCGGCACGGCAAGCCAGAAGUGAAAACCCGGGGCUCAACUUCGGGAUUGCUUUUGGAACUGUCGAGCUAGAUUGCGGGAGAGGUAAGUGGAAUUCCUAGUGUAGCGGUGAAAUGCGUAGAUAUUAGGAGGAACACCAGUGGCGAAGGCGGCUUACUGGACCGUAAAUGACGCUGAGGCUCGAAAGCGUGGGGAGCAAACAGGAUUAGAUACCCUGGUA